UGGGGAAUAUUGGACAAUGGGCGAAAGCCUGAUCCAGCCAUGCCGCGUGAGUGACGAAGGCCUUAGGGUUGUAAAACUCUUUCGUCGGGGACGAUAAUGACGGUACCCGCAGAAGAAGCCCCGGCUAACUCCGUGCCAGCAGCCGCGGUAAUACGGAGGGUGCAAGCGUUGUUCGGAAUUACUGGGCGUAAGGCGCGUGUAGGUGGUCGAGUAAGUCGAAUGUGAAAGCCCCGGGCUCAACCCGGGAAGUGCAUCCGAAACUGCUCGACUAGAGUCCCGGAGAGGAAGGCAGAAUUCCCAAUGUAGGGGUGAAAUCCGUAGAUAUUGGGAGGAAUACCGGUGGCGAAGGCGGCCUUCUGGACGGUGACUGACACUCAGACGCGAAAGCGUGGGGAGCAAACAGGAUUAGAUACCCGUGUAGUCCCUGAGCGGGCUGGCAAGGCGCAU
rnacentral:rRNA from 1 species